rnacentral:rRNA from 1 species
GGAGUUAGCCGGUGCUUCUUCUGUGAGUGAUGUCCUUCCUGCCGGUUAUUGACCCGCAGGCCUUCUUCCUCACUGAAAGUGCUUUACAACCCGAAGGCCUUCUUCACACACGCGGCAUGGCUGGAUCAGGGUUGCCCCCAUUGUCCAAUAUUCCCCACUGCUGCCUCCCGUAGGAGUCUGGGCCGUGUCUCAGUCCCAGUGUGGCUGAUCAUCCUCUCAGACCAGCUACGGAUCGUCGCCUUGGUGAGCCGUUACCUCACCAACCAGCUAAUCCGACAUAGGCUCAUCCGAUAGCGCGAGGCCCGAAGGUCCCCCGCUUUCCCCCGUAGGGCGUAUGCGGUAUUAGCCUGGGUUUCCCCAGGUUAUCCCCCACUACCGGGCAGAUUCCUAUGCAUUACUCACCCGUCCGCCGCUCGCCACCAGGGAGCAAGCUCCCCGUGCUGCCGCUCGACUUGCAUGUGUUAGGCCUGCCGCCACGCGUUCAUCUGAACCAAGAUACAACUACUGA